rnacentral:rRNA from 1 species
GACGAACGCUGGCGGCGCGCCUUACGCAUGCAAGUCGCGCGGACCUUCGGGUUAGUGGCGGACGGCUGAGUAACGCGUAGGUAACCUAUCCAGUGGUGGGGGACAACUCGCCGAAAGGCGAGCUAAUACCGCAUGUGGUCCCGGUGUGAGAUUCACCGGGACGAAAGCCGCAAGGCGCCACUUGAGGGGCCUGCGUCCUAUCAGGUAGUUGGUGGGGUAACGGCCUACCAAGCCUGUGACGGGUAGCGGUCUGAGAGGACGACCAGCCAGAAGGGGACUGAGACACGGCCCCUACUCCUACGGGAGGCAGCAGCGAGGAAUCUUGGGCAAUGGGCGAAAGCCUGACCCAGCGACGCCGCGUGAGGGAUGAAGGCCUU